ACUGCCCCGGCAGCAAAUACAACUGCCCCGGCAGGAAAUACAACUGCCCCGGCCUCCUCCGCCCUCAUCAACAAAAUCAGUCUCUUUUCAGUCGUUGUGGCUGUGAUGACACCUGUACUCCACUCAGGUUGUUGAAGGUGUUAAGUGCAGUUCUUAUCCUGUGCAUGAAAGUGAUGAAAAUGUAAGGAUUUGUGUUUAUAUACUGUAAGCUAAUAUGCUAAUUGAUUUAACUGUUUAAUGAUGUGUGUAUUGUACACUGGACCCUCCUGGAGGUACUUAUAAUUAAUCCAAAUGCCUGUGAUGACUAUGUUUGUUUUGAUUCAGAGGCCAGCAAGUGAAUCUGUCUAAUAUUACGAAAUAUUAACAUUUUGUAUGUCGUCACAUGAUUACAAAAAGAUGGUUUACAAUAAAGGUUUUGCAAAGCUA